rnacentral:rRNA from 1 species
GACGAACGCUGGCGGCGUGCCUAAUACAUGCAAGUCGAACGCUUCUUUCCUCCCGAGUGCUUGUGCUCGAGUGGAAAGCGGAGUAGCGGACGGGUGAGUAACACGUCGGUAACUUACCCAUCAGUGGGGGAUAACACUUUGAAACAGGUGCUAAUGCCGCAUAACAGUUUAUGCCGCGUAGCAUAUGAGUGAAUGGCGCUUUAGGGUGUCGCUGUUGGCUGGACCCGCGGUGCAUUAGCUAGUUGGGGAGGUAAGGGCUCACCAAGGCCACGAUGCAUAGCCGACCUGAGAGGGUGAUCGGCCACACUGGGACUGAGACACGGCCCAGACGCCUACGGGAGGCAGCAGUAGGGAAUCGUCGGCAAUGGACGAAAGUCUGACCGAGCAACGCCGCGUGAGUGAAGAAGGUGUUCGGAUCGUAAAACUCUGUUGUUAGAGAAGAACAAGGACGUUAGUAACUGAACGUCCCCUGACGGUAUCUAACCAGAAAGCCACGGCUAACUACGUG